GGGGAUAUAGCUCAGCUGGGAGAGCACCUGCCUUGCAAGCAGGGGUCAGGGUUCAAACCCUUAUCUCCA
rnacentral:tRNA from 1 species